AAGUUCUGCAAUAUGAAAAUAAAAUUUAUGUAAUACCACCACACUGACAGACAAUAAGAAUACACAGCACCUUUUACAAAAUCCGAACAGAUGUGUGGAUGUCGAUGCCAAGUCCACUUGAGACAAAAUAUUUCAUAAGGCUACAUCAAGGCAAGGUAGUUACAUUUAUGUAUAACAUAUAUACUAUGGGUAACAAGUUCGGUGACAUGCCUCUGUGAGUCAUGCUUCAUAUUGUAUCAGCGAUUUAAACAUAAUGUUGAAUUUGCAUUAGCCCAAUGACCGGCUGCUGUAGCAGAUAGUCCAGCAAAAUAUCGAGAAACAUGAAAUUAAAUUAAAAAAAAAAAUUUAAGCGUUCGCACACAACCACACAAAGGUGGAAUAAAACAAGUGAACGACCAACAACGUCAACCACUCGAACCAGUUCAACAACAACACCACCACCAUCCAUCUACCAGCCAGCCACCUUUCCGCAAAACACGAAAUAAUGUUCAAACCUUGUUUAUUGUUUGGCGCUGAGCAAAGACAAAAAGUUUCAGAUUAAGCUAACUACAGUGAAUUCGUACGUUCAGAGGAGAAGAGAUUCAUCGGUUGUUAGAGAAUUACAUCUUAAUGUUGAAUGCUGACCAAUUUAAGACAGACUUAAGUGACUACGGCUGGACAGUCUCAAAGCUUUGCGUAGAAAAGAAAGAGGAUUAUAGAAUAGCUUGGAUGAUUUAGAUCUGCGGAUAACAUAUGCAACAUCAAUCUUUAUAAACUGUAGCUGAUAUCACCAGAGGUGGGAAGAUGCGAAACUUUCGCUCCGUCAUGCCUGUUUUGUGAAGCUGAUUUAUUCUUAGCAUUCCUUUGGAUCAGCCAACUGGAUUACAAUUGAGUCUUCGCAUUUGUGAAUUGGAUUCAGCGAAUGCUGAGGGAAUUAAAGAUCGGUCGGUCGUGAUAGCUUUCUUUUUAUGAGGCAAUUAUUGAUAAUCCCUCUCCCUGUGGUACGGACAUAACAUCCGAUGUCCCCUUGGAAAUCGAGGAGAGACUGAAUUAACAUUUCUGUCAUUUAUUUAAGCAUUGCCUUAAUCUGAGCUAAUUUCCCAAUUUUUUUAGUAAUAUGAUAUGUUAGCUCCCAUAUGGCUUUUCACACCCGGAGCUCAUCUGCAGCUAUAGACCAAUUUGAAAUUAUAUUUUUUAUAAUGUUUUGCCAUUUUUUUGGUUAACGCUAGAAGUUAUUUAAGAAAAUUAUCAAAUUGGACUUGUUCUCUGUUGACCGGGAAAUUGAAUUAUCCAUUUCCACACAGCGCUCUCAGGUCUUAGCAUGGUAGAAUUAAAAGGUAGCCCUAUCAGGCCAGAUGUAGGCAACUUGAUAUGUCAAACAAAUUGUUGUAAUAUGAAUUCGCCCUACAGAUACAUAAAAUGAGAGAGUAACCUGAACAAUUAUUAAAAUUGAAAAUGUUGGAAAAAGUUAAAGAACAAAAAUGAAUCACCCAGACAAAAGUCUAUGUCCUUUCAUAAUAUCUUCAUCAGGUCAUAUUUGAACAAUAGAUCUGAUACCUAUCCUACAAAAUAUUUAAUAAUCACUAUUCUCAUAAAAUGUGAUAUUAUUCCCAGUUCUCUUCAAAGUAUUAAUACUAGAUUUAGUGAAAAGUUGAAAUUAUUUAACCUUUAUGAUACGCCCUUGAAAUAAAGUAAAGAUAAAUAAGUGGUCAAAUUCUGAGGAUAUAUUUCUGUCGAAGCUCCGACUGAACUUUUUUUCUUAAAACUUGGACUUUUAUCCUUUAGGACUUCAAGAUAAGCAAUUGGUCUCAUUUCAAAAAUAAUAAUGUUUAGGUCUGAAAUAAAUCAACAAAUCCACUAUUUGAGAUCCGCAAAUAUGCUUUCGAGAUAUAGCCACGUCUGAGACCCGGAAUGUUCUUCAAAUAUCCACGAUUUAAGAGCCGGUAAUUUUCUUUAAAAUUUGAGGAUUUUAUGUGUUGAAUCUACAUUUUUAGAAAUCCACGGCAAAAUUCAUUGUUUGGAGCAGCAGCCUUUGUAAAUUAUCCUCAUUUUGGUGGUUGUUUCAUGGUUUCUUGUCUUAUUUCGAGUCUUCGACUUUUUGUUUGCUUUUCACAAAACUUCCUUGCAAAAUAUAAAUUUUUUAAAUAUAAAUAAAAACACAACAAAAUUAUUCAAUGCUUCGUUCCAUGGUAGAAUUACAAGGUAACCCUUUCAGGCCAGCUGGUAUCAAUUUGAUAUGUCAAAAAAUUGUUGUAAUUUGAAUUCGCCUUCAUUUACACAUAAGAAAAUUGUUGCAUGAUUUCAAACUUUAACAAUGCUAUUGAUAGAAAAUCGAGAUUUUACGUUUUUAUAGAGUAUGAGGGAAAAAGUGUAUAUUCAACAUAUGGUAGGCAUAGGUAAUAUGGAGAUCUAAAAUUCGUGGAUAUUUGAAAUAAGUGAAACAGGGAAUCAAUUUCAUUUAGGAAAUAAACCGAUACAUGGAAUUUCAUCAUCUUAUUUGUACGGAUUUUCAACUAUGUUAUACACUAUAGGGCUUCAACAGUGAAAGGUGAAUGAUUCCAAAGCAUAUUGGAUUGGUUUGGGGAACAAAAUAUUGGCAAUUUUUGGGGUGUGAUUAAAUGUUGAGAUAAUUUUUUUAUUUCAAAUUGUUCGAAUGUAUUAAAGUUAUCUAUGCUUAAAAGACUUCCUGUCUGCUAUACAUUUCAUAGCUGAGCAAAUAAUAUGCCUGGACUCACAGUAGACUCAGCCCCCCUGUAUCUUCUGCAAUCUUUGAUCCAAAUCUUAAGUAAGCCUGAGGAGUAAAUAUACCCUAAAGUACCUUUUAGGUAGCAUGUCACUACAGCGAGAAAGCUGACGAUGUAGCAAAAGAAAAAGGGGUACACCCCAGAACCACCACAAAACCUAAUUUUAAAGCAUCAAAAAUAAUUUUCCGGAUAUUUCCUUUAAAGAACAUUAUCGCUGUUGAAUAUGAAAUCAACGUUGCCAACGUUACCAAGACUGCAUGCUGUGUAAGGAUGAUGAAGAGAUAACAACGAUUGGACAUCUAUUAUCGCAAAUGUCCUUCGUUGGCGCUGGAGACUACAAUCACUCCAUUUCCAGUCUAUGUGAUUUUCAAAAAUGUUGUAUUGAACGUGCUAUAAUCAAACCAAGAUGCAGCGGCUUCAGCAUUACUUUCAAUCGAUGUUGGAAGUUUUGAAUAUUUGCUUUUGUAAUAGAAAAAAACACAAUUUUGAAAAUUUUUAAUUCAAUAUUUUGAUUGGAAAAAUAAUUUGCCCCAAAUUUUGUACUUCAAAUCAAUUCGCCCUGACUACAACUUUGACAUAUCAAGUUUCCAAAAAAAGUUGCUUUGUUGUAAUUUUCGCCUAUGUUGCUACCUGGUAUUUCUAC